rnacentral:rRNA from 1 species
AGCGAACGCUGGCGGCAGGCUUAACACAUGCAAGUCGAGCGGGCACCUUUCGGGGUGUCAGCGGCGGACGGGUGAGUAACGCGUGGGAACGUGCCCUCUGGUUCGGAAUAACUCAGGGAAACUUGAGCUAAUACCGGAUACGCCCUUUUGGGGAAAGGCUUGCUGCCGGAGGAUCGGCCCGCGUCUGAUUAGCUAGUUGGUGAGGUAACGGCCCACCAAGGCGACGAUCAGUAGCUGGUCUGAGAGGAUGAUCAGCCACACUGGGACUGAGACACGGCCCAGACUCCUACGGGAGGCAGCAGUGGGGAAUAUUGGACAAUGGGCGCAAGCCUGAUCCAGCCAUGCCGCGUGAGUGAUGAAGGCCUUAGGGUUGUAAAGCUCUUUUAUCCGGGACGAUAAUGACGGUACCGGAGGAAUAAGCCCCGGCUAACUUCGUG